UACGGAGGGUGCAAGCGUUAUCCGGAUUCACUGGGUUUAAAGGGUGCGUAGGAGGGCAGGUAAGUCAGUGGUGAAAUCUCCGAGCUUAACUUGGAAACUGCCGUUGAUACUAUCUGUCUUGAAUAUUGUGGAGGUGAGCGGAAUAUGUCAUGUAGCGGUGAAAUGCUUAGAUAUGACAUAGAACACCAAUUGCGAAGGCAGCUUACUACACAGUAAUUGACACUGAGGCACGAAAGCGUGGGGAUCAAACAGG
rnacentral:rRNA from 1 species